rnacentral:rRNA from 1 species
AACGAACGCUGGCGGCAUGCCUAACACAUGCAAGUCGAACGAGACUUUCGGGUCUAGUGGCGCACGGGUGCGUAACGCGUGGGAAUCUGCCCUUCGGUUCGGAACAACAGUUAGAAAUGACUGCUAAUACCCGAUGAUGACGUAAGUCCAAAGAUUUAUCGCCGAAGGAUGAGCCCGCGUAGGAUUAGCUAGUUGGUAAGGUAAAAGCUUACCAAGGCGACGAUCCUUAGCUGGUCUGAGAGGAUGAUCAGCCACACUGGGACUGAGACACGGCCCAGACUCCUACGGGAGGCAGCAGUGGGGAAUAUUGGACAAUGGGCGAAAGCCUGAUCCAGCAAUGCCGCGUGAGUGAUGAAGGCCUUAGGGUUGUAAAGCUCUUUUACCAGGGAUGAUAAUGACAGUACCUGGAGAAUAAGCUCCGGCUAACUCCGUGCCAGCCGCCGCUGUAAAAC